AUCCAGCUGACGAGUCCUAAAUAGGACGAAAUGCACGUGCUGGAU
rnacentral:hammerhead_ribozyme from 1 species